rnacentral:rRNA from 1 species
AACGAACGCUGGCGGCAUGCCUAACACAUGCAAGUCGAACGAAACCUUCGGGUCUAGUGGCGCACGGGUGCGUAACGCGGGGGAACCUGCCCUUAGGUUCGGAAUAACUCCCCGAAAGGGGUGCUAAUACCGGAUAAUGUCUUCGGACCAAAGAUUUAUCGCCUUUGGAUGGGCCCGGGUAGGAUUAGCUAGUUGGUAGGGUAAAAGCCUACCAAGGCGACGAUCCAUAGCUGGUCUGAGAGGAUGAUAAGCCACACUGGGACUGAGACACGGCCCAGACUCCUACGGGAGGCAGCAGUGGGGAAUAUUGGACAAUGGGCGAAAGCCUGAUCCAGCAAUGCCGCGUGAGUGAUGAAGGCCUUAGGGUUGUAAAGCUCUUUUACCCGGGAUGAUAAUGACAGUACCGGGAGAAUAAGCUCCGGCUAACUCCGUG